rnacentral:rRNA from 1 species
CCUACGGGCGGCUGCAGUGAGGAAUAUUGGUCAAUGGGCGGGAGCCUGAACCAGCCAAGUCGCGUGAGGGAAGAAGGUACUGAGUAUUGUAAACCUCUUUUGCCAGGGGACAAAGGCGGCCACGGGUGGCCGUAAGCGGGUACCUGGAGAAAAAGCAUCGGCUAAUUCCGUGCCAGCAGCCGCGGUAAUACGGAGGAUGCGGGCGUUAUCCGGAUUUAUGGGGUUUAAAGGGUGCGCAGGCGGCGUGUCAAGCUUGCGGUAAAAUGUUGGGGCUCAACCCCGGCCGGCCGUUGAAACUGGCGAGCUCGAGUUGGAGAGAGGUAAGCGGAAUUCGUGGUGUAGCGGUGAAAUGCGUAGAUAUCACGAAGAACCCCGAUUGCGAAGGCAGCAUACCGGCUCCACACUGACGCUGAGGCACGAAAGCGUGGGUAUCGAACAGGAUUAGAUACCCCGGUAGUC